AAUUUAACUGCUCUGUAAUACAGCGUCUAAUUAGUGCGUAAUCUGAAGAGCUUUGCUUGACAACGGGCCGCGCCACGCUUCGCUUUCGCAACAACAUGGCGGUACACGCCGUCCGUUGGGACGAAUAUUUCAAUGACACGUGAUCAACGACCCACCAAUCAGAUCGGGAUUUCUUCAGGUGCUGUAUAAUUAACAAUUGUUUACUGCUGUUAUGUGGGAUAUGAGGCUUUGAACACCCAAGAGUAGGGACGCAUAGCACCCGAGGCGAAGCCACUCUAUGGUCCCGAGGGUGCUCAAAACGUCGUAUCCCACAUCACAACAUUAUAUUGUUACAUCACAGCAGUGUAUUGUUAAGUAUACAUAUGUUAGUCCCUAGCCUAGCAUGUCAUUGAAGGGACAGGAAUCAUAAUAACUCCACUAUUGGGGGAGGAGAGGCCUAACUUUGGACCGCUCUAUCUUCUAUUCAUUAUUUCUUUAAACUAUUUAGUCAGUAGUUGUCAAAUGACUGUUGUUUGAAAUGUUAGUGUCGGGAAAUGAAAAUAUGUGUUAUACAUGUUACAUGUGUUUGGCUUCUUUAUGUUGUUUUCUAUCCUCAAGGAUACAUGGACUCAUGAAGCUUUUCACAACCAAAAUGAGCUGGUAAUUGGUAUGGCCUCCUGCCAGACCACUGUCUCAUUCUUGGGUCUAACCAAACCCUUUGUUUUAGAGAGAUUUUCCCAUGCCCAUGUCUAGCUAUUUUUGGUAGCAAGAAUGUCACUUUCACUAGCUGUGGAGACAAAUCAAUUAAGGUUUGGAGGUUGUUGGGACCUGGAAGAAAACUUGCUGAUCAGCAGAUUCACCCAGGACUCCCUGAAACACUAGCCAAUCAAAAAGUUUAUAUUCAAAUUAAUUCAGAAGGAAGGAGUAGUCAAUUUAAUAUGUAGCCAAUCGGCAAAUGGAUCGAAGUGUCCAUCACCCAACUAAAGUGGGUAUUUAAGGUCCCGCAUCAGGGCCAAAAGACCAGUCUGCACCCACAUCCAGCAGGCCACUGAAGCCAAGCCAAUGUCGUAGCCAUAGAGGGGUGAGUUCUUGUCUUGUUAUUUUGAGUUGUAAUUUCGAGACUUAGUUUCUAGUUGAGAGCUAUUUGUGUUCUGUAGUUGUAAUAUUGAUUGAAGUUCAUUCUUAUAUUUGGUGGUUCAUGGUUUUAAUCAUUUGUUUGCAUUUCUGUGCAUGAAGUUAUCUGCAGCUUGAGCCAUUAUUGUGUGAAUAAUUGUUGCACUUUUAUUGACUCGAACCAUGCUCGAACUUAGAAAUUUACAAUAAUAGGUUCGGCAGUCAACUUAAAUUGAUCAUGUGAAUUGAACAUGUAUCUUAAUUAGUGUAUCAUUGAUAAUAUUGUGGAACCAUUUGUUCAAGCAUUAUGUCAUUCUUUUGUAUAUAGCUUCCAGCUACACAACUGGAGUUGAAGUGAUGUACAUGUAGCUGUACAGGCUGUUCUUUAACUUUAUCCAGGGGUCCGUUGAAGACCGUCUGUCAUGGAUCGGUUGUAAAUUCUGUCAAGGACCGUCCAUUAACCGUCUGUAGAGUCCGUUAGACUCUAGGUUCAUCGAAUAAAAGUUCAUCAGAGAGACAUCGCAGAACUGUGUCGUUGUCCGUUAGUUGUUGUAUCUUGAUCUCGAACCCUGCGUUCUAACGAAUGCUAAACUAAAUCCGCUGCGAGGAUUAUACGACAUUA